rnacentral:rRNA from 1 species
UACGGAGGGUGCAAGCGUUAUCCGGAUUCACUGGGUUUAAAGGGUACGUAGGUGGGUUGGUAAGUCAGUGGUGAAAUCUCCGUGCUUAACAUGGAAACUGCCAUUGAUACUACUGAUCUUGAAUUUUCAGGAGGUAAGCGGAAUAUGUCAUGUAGCGGUGAAAUGCCUAGAUAUGACAUAGAACACCAAUUGCGAAGGCAGCUUACUACAGGAAUAUUGACACUGAUGCACGAAAGCGUGGGGAUCAAACAGG